rnacentral:tmRNA from 1 species
GGGGGCGAUCGGCUUCGACGGGUGGUCGAAGGCGAGCGCUGCGUGCCGAGGGCGUCACCUGCCUCGUUAAUCCGGUGGCAAGUUGGUAGUGAUAACUGCCGACGACAACUAUGCACUCGCUGCCUAGCAGAAACUAGCGCUAGCGACGCCCGUCCGUGACGCCUUCUAGCGGGUCGCGGGCGUCAUCAGAGGGCUGGCCCCCGGCCGCUGGCAGGCCGCAUCCGGGGGCGAGAAUCAAGUCUGCCUGGGCGCGACUUCUCCCGGUGACGUGACGGGUCGCGCCGAGAUCGAGCGACACCUACGCACGUAGACGCGCUGGCUGGACGCCAUGCGGACGCGGGUUCGAUUCCCGCCGCCUCCACCA